AACAACUUUUACUUAUAAAGCAAUAAGCAAAAUUGUUACAUUACAUGCAAAAGUAGAAAAAUAUGGCUCAAAUUCUCAUGUUUGUCUAUUUUUUGAUCAUCUUUCUUUCUCUGUUUCUAGUUGAAAGCAUAAAAAUAUUUACUGAGCAUCGUUGUCGUACCGACGCUGAUUGUCCAGCGAGGGAGCUUCCUGAAUAUUUGAAGUGUCAAGGUGGUAUGUGUCGGCUUUUAAUAAAGAAGGAUUGAAU